GGUUAGCAGCUGCCGGUAGGGUCCUAGCCUUGGCCGGCUGUGAGGAGCCUUGCCGGGCUCUGGAGCCGCUUUGGAGGUCCGGACAGAAGCGGAGCUCUGGCUGCUUCUGGUCGCUGUCCCGGCAGAUGCCCAGCUCUGUUUCCUCUGGGUUAUAGCCAGUCCAGAGACUUCUGACGAGGAGAGAGUGCUUGUUCUCCUUGUUACUGUUAGGAUGGGGUGAUACGUUCUUUUUUAGGCAGGAAGCCUUUUCGUGGGCAGGUACCAGCAUUUAGUGGCGUUUGGUUUUCGCUGGCGUUUGGUUUUCGGUGGUAGUCCAUGGAUAGCCCUCCGGAGCCCUAGCCUUGAACCCAUUUACGAUUCACUGGGAAAGCUUCGAAGCGGUCAACCCUCCCACGCCAGGCGUGUGUGUCAGGGGAGCCAUAAAAUAUUGACUCCGGAAGAUACAGUCAAUAGCAGUCAAGCUCAAUUUAAUUUUUUUUAAAGGAAAAUAAUCCCGUGGAAAAAAUCAAUAUUUUUAAGUCAUUCAUAUUAGUUCUCUUACUUCAUUAACACCCCCACUGUAGUUCUCUCCUGGACGUGUAAUGCUGUCGUUUCAAUGUCAAAACAUUCAGUGAAACGUAAGUGUGAUUUUUAUCAGAACUGACGUAGGACAUGAGAAUAAUAGGCAUUUCUCCUAGUUCGUUGCUUCACUGACUGUGGUGUGAGGAAAGGUGAAAGAUUUGUCACUCACCCCCGCUGAUAAAGUUAUGUUCUUCACUGGUUUCAGCAGGAAAUCUACCUUUAUGUAUUUCUAAUCAAACUUUAUUUUUGCUCAGAAAUCAAAUGAAGGAUCACUAGAAAUAGAAAAUGUGGAUCUUUUAUGCCAUGAUGGAAAAUGCUACAGAUGAACCAAAAAGCAUCGGGGUAAAAAGCAUCGUACAGCAUCUGAACAGUCCACCAACCUUACGAUGUGAGUCAGAGAUUCGUUCUACCUGGUUUUGAACUUCAUGGAAAUGGAAUAAUACGAGAUGGGAGUCUUGCCAUGUUGCCUAGCCUGAAGUUCAGUGGCUAUUCACAGGCACGAUCACAGUGCAUUACAGCCUCAAACACCUGUGCUCAGCAAUCCUCCUGCCUCAGCCUCCUGAGUAGCUGAAACUACUGUGUGCACCACACCCAGCCAUGUAAAUGGUAAAACCAACCUGCUAAUUUCUACAAAAUACUCUAGUGGGAUUUUUAUUGAGAUUACAUUAAAUCUAUAAAUCAAUUUGGGAAGAACUGACAUCUUAAUAAUAUUGAGUCUUCUAAUCCAUUAACACCAUAUAAUUUCCAUUU